rnacentral:rRNA from 1 species
UACGUAGGGCGCGAGCGUUGUCCGGGAAUUAUUGGGCGUAAAGAGCUCGUAGGCGGCCUGUUGCGUCUGCUGUGAAAGCCCCGAGGCUCAACCUCGGGCCUGCAGUGGGUACGGGCAGACUAGAGUGAUGUAGGGGAGACUGGAAUUCCUGGUGUAGCGGUGAAAUGCGCAGAUAUCAGGAGGAACACCGAUGGCGAAGGCAGGUCUCUGGGCAUUAACUGACGCUGAGGAGCGAAAGCAUGGGGAGCGAACAGG